UACGUAGGGUGCAAGCGUUGUCCGGAAUUAUUGGGCGUAAAGAGCUCGUAGGCGGUCUGUCACGUCGGCUGUGAAAUCCCGAGGCUCAACCUCGGGUCUGCAGUCGAUACGGGCAAACUAGAGUAUUGCAGGGGAGACUGGAAAUUCCUGGUGUAGCGGUGAAAUGCGUAGAUAUCGGGAGGAACACCAGUGGCGAAGGCGACUACCUGGCCUGUUCUCGACGCUGAGGCGGCGAAAGCUA
rnacentral:rRNA from 1 species